AGAAUCAACGCUGGCGGCGUGCCUAACACAUGCAAGUCGAACGAGAAAGUGGAGCAAUCCAUGAGUAAAGUGGCGCACGGGUGAGUAACACGUGACUAACCUACCCUUGAGUGGGGGAUAACCUAGAGAAAUCUGGGCUAAUACCGCAUAAUACCUUCGGGUCAAAGGAGCAAUUCGCUUAAGGAGGGGGUCGCGGCCGAUUAGUUAGUUGGCGGGGUAAUGGCCCACCAAGACUAUGAUCGGUAUCCGGCCUGAGAGGGCGCACGGACACACUGGAACUGAAACACGGUCCAGACUCCUACGGGAGGCAGCAGUGGGGAAUUUUGCGCAAUGGGGGAAACCCUGACGCAGCAACGCCGCGUGGAGGAUGAAGUCCCUUGGGACGUAAACUCCUUUCGAUCGGGACGAUAAUGACGGUACCGAGAGAAGAACGCCCCGGCUAACUUCGUGCCAGCAGCCGC
rnacentral:rRNA from 1 species